rnacentral:rRNA from 1 species
CGCGAGCUGGGUUCAGAACGGCGUGAGCCAGUUCGGUCCCUAUCCACUGCGCACGUAAGAAAUUUGAGGGGAGUCGUCCUUAGUACGAGAGGACCGGGAUGAACAGACCUCUGGUGUACCAAUUGUUCCGCCAGGAGCAUACGUUGGGUAGCCACGUCUGGUCGUGAUAAGCGCUGAAAGCAUCUAAGCGCCAAGCACACCCCAAGAUUAGAUUUCUCAAAUUUGUAAGGACCCUCGAAGACUACGAGGUUGAUAGGUCACGGCUGUGAGUCCAGUAAUGGAUUAAGGUGAGUGAUACUAAUUGUCCGAGGGCUUGCUUA